GACGAACGCUGGCGGCGUGCUUAACACAUGCAAGUCGAACGAUGAAGCUGGAGCUUGCUCCGGUGGAUUAGUGGCGAACGGGUGAGUAACACGUGAGCAAUCUGCCCUUGACUCUGGGAUAACUGCGGGAAACUGUAGCUAAUACCGGAUACUUUCACUGGAAGGCAUCUUCUGGUGAAGAAAGAAUUUCGGUCAAGGAUGAGCUCGCGGCCUAUCAGCUUGUUGGUGAGGUAACGGCUCACCAAGGCGACGACGGGUAGCCGGCCUGAGAGGGUGACCGGCCACACUGGGACUGAGACACGGCCCAGACUCCUACGGGAGGCAGCAGUGGGGAAUAUUGCACAAUGGGCGCAAGCCUGAUGCAGCAACGCCGCGUGAGGGAUGAAGGCCUUCGGGUUGUAAACCUCUUUUAGCAGGGAAGAAGCGAAAGUGUCGGUACCUGCGGAAAAAGCACCGGCUAACUACGUGCCAGCAGCCGCGGUAA
rnacentral:rRNA from 1 species